UUAUUAGCUCAGUUGGUAGAGCAUGGGACUCUUAAUCUCAGGGUCAUGGGUCUGAGUCCUACACUGGGCAAAA
rnacentral:tRNA from 1 species